GUCCAGGGUAGCCUAGUGGUCAUGGCAUCUGCCCGGUAAGCGGAAGGUCGUGUUUCGAUUCCCAUCCCUUGACA